rnacentral:rRNA from 1 species
AUUGAACGCUGGCGGCAUGCCUUACACAUGCAGUCGAACGGUACAGGGAGCUUGCUCCGCUGACGAGUGGCGAACGGGUGAGUAAUAUAUCGGAACGUACCUUUGAGUGGGGGAUAACUAGUCGAAAGAUUAGCUAAUACCGCAUACGAUCUACGGAUGAAAGUGGGGGAUCGCAAGACCUCAUGCUCAUAGAGCGGCCGAUAUCUGAUUAGCUAGUUGGUGAGGUAAAGGCUCACCAAGGCUUCGAUCAGUAGCUGGUCUGAGAGGACGACCAGCCACACUGGGACUGAGACACGGCCCAGACUCCUACGGGAGGCAGCAGUGGGGAAUUUUGGACAAUGGGGGCAACCCUGAUCCAGCAAUGCCGCGUGAGUGAAGAAGGCCUUCGGGUUGUAAAGCUCUUUUGUCAGGGAAGAAACGGUCUGAUCUAAUACAUUGGGCUAAUGACGGUACCUGAAGAAUAAGCACCGGCUAACUACGUGCCAGCAGCCGCGGUAAUACGUAGGGUGCAAGCGUUAAUCGGAAUUACUGGGCGUAAAGCGUGCGCAGGCGGUUAUGUAAGACAGGUGUGAAAUCCCCGGGCUUAACCUGGGAAUGGCAUUUGUGACUGCAUAGCUAGAGUGUGUCAGAGGGGGGUAGAAUUCCACGUGUAGCAGUGAAAUGCGUAGAGAUGUGGAGGAAUACCGAUGGCGAAGGCAGCCCCCUGGGAUAACACUGACGCUCAUGCACGAAAGCGUGGGGAGCAACAGGAUUAGAUACCCUGGUAGUCCACGCCCUAAACGAUGUCUACUAGUUGUCGGGUCUUAAUUGACUUGGUAACGCAGCUAACGCGUGAAGUAGACCGCCUGGGGAGUACGGUCGCAAGAUAAAACUCAAAGGAUUGACGGGGACCCCCACAAGCCGUGGAUGAUGGUGGAUUAAUUCGAUGCA